CGUAGGGUGCAAGCGUUAAUCGGAAUUACUGGGCGUAAAGCGUGCGCAGGCGGUUUUAUAAGUCUGAUGUGAAAUCCCCGGGCUCAACCUGGGAACUGCAUUGGAGACUGUAAGGCUAGAGUGUGUCAGAGGGGGGUAGAAUUCCACGUGUAGCAGUGAAAUGCGUAGAUGUGUGGAGGAAUACCGAUGGCGAAGGCAGCCCCCUGGGAUAACACUGACGCUCAUGCACGAAAGCGUGGGGAGCAAACAGGAUUAGAUACCCUGGUAGUCCACGCCCUAAACGAUGUCUACUAGUUGUCGGGUCUUAAUUGACUUGGUAACGCAGCUAACGCGUGAAGUAGACCGCCUGGGGAGUACGGUCGCAAGAUUA
rnacentral:rRNA from 1 species